CUAGUCUCAGCUGAAUUUGAGAACUGAACCUUAAGUUUUGUCUCUCCAAGCAUUUUUUCUUCCUCAAUGGGUACUCAGAAACGAGUUGUUCGUCCAGAAAUGAAUUACUUGCUUUGUAUAUGCGGAAAAGAGAAACCAGAAAUAGUUGCUUCUGAAUGGAUUGUAGAAGAUAUCGAUAUGACGACGCUUUCAAAGCUUAUGCCAGUGUCUGCAACUCCAAAACUCCUAUCAAAACCCUUAAGGACUUCUCUCAGAUCAAGUACGGUUAGGGAUUUACAGCAUACGAAUUUCUCUGCAGGGGUUUUCCAGACGGACUCGGGUGCUUCUAAAGCUGAAUCUGAAAACGUGACAGAGAAAGAAAAAAGGAGAGGAAAAUUUUCCAGGUUUGGGAGUUUGCUGAAGGAGUGAUAUAAUUGAUGGAGUUACAUCACAACAUCGAUAGCGAAUGGUUUAGUUGAGAUAUCAUAGUUGUCCAGCAAAGGGCUGCUUGAUGAACAGUUUCAGCAGUGAUAUCUUCACCCACAGGAAACUGAAGAGGAGGAAGCAAAUCAGUGGGGAAGAAGUUGCAGUUCAGGGUUCCUUCACAAGUAACUGUUUUCUGGGUAACAACUUGCUUUUGGAUCCUAUCUCCAUUGACAGGCAACUGGUGAGGAGGAAGAAAAUCAGAAGGAAAGAAGUUGUAGAGAAGAUUGGACAUUGGUUCUCAGAUGAAACUUGGGAAGAAGGAAAUGGUAGGUUGAAGCAGAGAACUUAGGAGGAAGAGGAAGAGGAGACUCUGAAUUGUUUAGACCUUCAAGUUGGUCUAUUUAAAGAGAGAGAAAGUGUCAUGGCGUUGGCUUGUAGUUAGUUUCAUCGACGGUUGUGGAGAGACGAUGGAAUUGGAACCUUUAGAGAGAGAGAGAGAGAGAGAGAGUAUGGCGUAUGCUGAUGCCAUCUAGAAAGUAGGAAAGUCUUGCUGAUACGCUGUCAGAGGGACGGCAGUGUGAGAAAGCAUAUUGAGAAUUGCAAUGGGAUCCCACAGUUCAUGAGC